CAACUACCCACUCUGUCCCAAAUUUCUUGUCUUAGAUUUGUCUAGAUACAGAUGUAUCUAAUAAUAAAAUGUGACUUGAUACAUCCGUAUCUAGACAAAUCAAAGAUAAGAAUUUUGGGACGGAGGGAGUACUUU
rfam:Triticum urartu cultivar G1812 contig681374, whole genome shotgun sequence.